rnacentral:rRNA from 1 species
UAAAGCGUGCGCAGCGGUUAUGUAAGACAGAUGUGAAAUCCCCGGGCUCAACCUGGGAACUGCAUUUGUGACUGCAUGGCUAGAGUACGGUAGAGGGGGAUGGAAUUCCGCGUGUAGCAGUGAAAUGCGUAGAUAUGCGGAGGAACACCGAUGGCGAAGGCAAUCCCCUGGACCUGUACUGACGCUCAUGCACGAAAGCGUGGGGAGCAAACAGGAUUAGAUACCCGUGU